AUUGAACGCUGGCGGCAGGCCUAACACAUGCAAGUCGAGCGGAUGAAGGGAGCUUGCUCCUGGAUUCAGCGGCGGACGGGUGAGUAAUGCCUAGGAAUCUGCCUGGUAGUGGGGGAUAACGUCCGGAAACGGGCGCUAAUACCGCAUACGUCCUGAGGGAGAAAGUGGGGGAUCUUCGGACCUCACGCUAUCAGAUGAGCCUAGGUCGGAUUAGCUAGUUGGUGGGGUAAAGGCCUACCAAGGCGACGAUCCGUAACUGGUCUGAGAGGAUGAUCAGUCAAACUGGAACUGAGACACGGUCCAGACUACUACGGGAGGCAGCAGUGGGGAAUAUUGGACAAUGGGCGAAAGCAUGAUCCAGCAAUGCCGCGUGUGUGAAGAAGGUCUUCGGAUUGUAAAGCACUUUAAGUUGGGAGGAAGGGCAGUAAGUUAAUACCUUGCUGUUUUGACGUUACCAACAGAAUAAGCACCGGCUAACUUCGUG
rnacentral:rRNA from 1 species